rnacentral:rRNA from 1 species
AGUGAACGCUGGCGGUAGGCCUAACACAUGCAAGUCGAACGGCAGCACAGUAAGAGCUUGCUCUUACGGGUGGCGAGUGGCGGACGGGUGAGUAAUACAUCGGAAUCUACUUUUUCGUGGGGGAUAACGUAGGGAAACUUACGCUAAUACCGCAUACGACCUACGGGUGAAAGCAGUGGAUCUUCGGACCUUGCGCGAUUGAAUGAGCCGCUGUCGGAUUAGCUAGUUGGCGGGGUAAAGACCCACCAAGGCGACGAUCCGUAGUUGGUCUGAGAGGAUGAUCAGCCACACUGGAACUGAGACACGGUCCAGACUCGUACGGGAGGCAGCAGAGGGGAAAAUUGGACAAUGGGCGGAAGGCUAAUCCAGACAUGCCGCGUGGGGGAAGGAGGCCUUGGGGUUGUAAAGCCCUUUUGUUGGGAAAGAAAAGCAGCAGGUUAAUACCCCGCUGUUCUGACGGUACCCAAAGAAUAAGCACCGGCUAACCUCGUG